GGGGCUGAAACAGGAUUUCGACAGGAGUUGCGUCACGUGGGUGGCAUGCCAAGUGUCUCUUGUAAAACGACACAAACAAUAACCGUAAAUAAUCCUAAUUACGCUCCCAACUACGCUAAAGCAGCGUAGCGAGCUGGAAGCUUGGCGAAUCGAUCGGUGUUUGCUAGGCAUUCCAUCAUCUUUAGCCGAUUGCCUUUAAGAAACGCUCGCUUCUUAAAGUAAGACUAGAGCUAGGGGUUUCUUUGGGGCUUUGAGAAGUUAGCCCGUGAAGCCUUAAGACUUUUAACUUCUCUAAGCAUGUAGAAGCCCAUGGCAUGGAUGUGAUUUUUGGACUGGGGUUCGACUCCCCACAGCUCCACCA
rfam:Helicobacter ailurogastricus isolate ASB9 genome assembly, contig: Scaffold_037